rnacentral:rRNA from 1 species
UACGGGGGGUGCGAGCGUUGUCCGGAAUCACUGGGCGUAAAGGGCGCGUAGGUGGUCUGAUAAGGGUGUGGUGAAAGUCCGGGGCUCAACCCCGGAUCUGCCGUGCCGACUGUCAGACUCGAGGACUGUAGAGGCAGGCGGAAUUCCGGGUGUAGCGGUGGAAUGCGUAGAGAUCCGGAGGAAGACCGGUGGCGAAGGCGAGUCCCUGGACAACACCUGACACUGAGGCACGAAAGCUAGGGGAGCAAACAGG